rnacentral:rRNA from 1 species
GCGCACCAGUCGAGAAAACUUUACAAUGUGCGAAAGCACGAUAAGGGAACUCUGAGUGCCUCCUAAGGAGGCUGUUCUGAUGUCUAAAAGCAACAGAAGUAAGGGCUGGGUAAGACCGGUGCCAGCCGCCGCGGUAACACCGGCAGCCCAAGUGGUAGCCACGUUUAUUGGGUCUAAAGCGUUCGUAGCCGGCCAGGUAAGUUCCUUGGUAAAUUUAGCCGCUUAACGGUUAAGCUUUCAGGGAAUACUGCUUGGCUUGGGACUGGGAGAGGUCAGAGGUACUCCGGGGGUAGGGGUGAAAUCUAUUAAUCCCUGGGGACCACCGGUAGCGAAGGCGUCUGACCAGACCAGGUCCGACGGUGAGGGACGAAGGCUAGGGGCGCGAACCGGAUUAGAUACCCGCGUAGU